CAGUAGCCGCGGUAAUACGGAGGGUGCAAGCGUUAAUCGGAAUUACUGGGCGUAAAGCGUGCGUAGGCGGUUCGUUAAGUCUGUUGUGAAAGCCCCGGGCUCAACCUGGGAAUGGCAAUGGAUACUGGCGAGCUAGAGUGUGUCAGAGGAUGGUGGAAUUCCCGGUGUAGCGGUGAAAUGCGUAGAGAUCGGGAGGAACAUCAGUGGCGAAGGCGGCCAUCUGGGACAACACUGACGCUGAGGCACGAAAGCGUGGGGAGCAAACAGGAUUAGAUACCCGAGUAGUCCCUGUCUCUUAUAC
rnacentral:rRNA from 1 species